rnacentral:rRNA from 1 species
ACUGACUGGCUCGAUACUGACACUGAGGUGCGAAAGCGUGGGGAGCAAACGGGAUUAGAUACCCCGGUAGUCACGCCGUAAACGAUGUCUACUAGCCGUUGGAGGACUUGAUCCUUUAGUGGCGCAGCUAACGCGAUAAGUAGACCGCCUGGGGAGUACGGUCGCAAGAUUAAAACUCAAAUGAAUUGACGGGGGCCCGCACAAGCGGUGGAGCAUGUGGUUUAAUUCGAAGCAACGCGAAGAACCUUACCUACUCUUGACAUCCAGUGAACUUUUGAGAGAUCAAUUGGUGCCUUCGGGAACACUGAGACAGGUGCUGCAUGGCUGUCGUCAGCUCGUGUUGUGAAAUGUUGGGUUAAGUCCCGUAACGAGCGCAACCCUUGUCCUUAGUUACCAUCAUUAAGUUGGGGACUCUAAGGAGACUGCCGGUGACAAACCGGAGGAAGGCGGGGACGACGUCAAGUCAUCAUGGCCCUUACGAGUAGGGCUACACACGUGCUACAAUGGCAUGUACAAAGGGUUGCCAAGCCGCGAGGUGGAGCUAAUCCCAUAAAGCAUGUCGUAGUCCGGAUUGGAGUCUGCAACUCGACUCCAUGAAGUCGGAAUCGCUAGUAAUCGUGAAUCAGAAUGUCACGGAGAAUACGUUCCCGGGCCUUGUACACACCGCCCGUCACACCAUGGGAGUGGGUUGCUCCAGAAGUAGAUAGCUUAACCUUCGGGAGGGCGUUUACCACGGAGUGAUUCAUGACUGGGGUGAAGUCGUAACAAGGUAACCGUA